rnacentral:rRNA from 1 species
GGUUAAGUUAGAAAGGGCGCACGAUGGAUGCCUUGACACUAGGAGUCGAUGAAGGACGGGACUAACGCCGAUAUGCUUCGGGGAGCUGUAAGUAAGCUUUGAUCCGAAGAUUUCCGAAUGGGGAAACCCAAUCGUCG